rnacentral:misc_RNA from 1 species
AGGUGAAAUGCCCACCAACGAAUGAACUAAAGGACCAGAAUCAGAGAAGAACAAGAAGGGCUCAAUAAUGCAAGUCCAGAAAAGUCAAGUGAAGAUCCCUAGAACAAAGAUCUAGUCCAAUCACGAAAACUACUAAAAAUAGAAGCAAACUAUAUCAAAGACAGAAACAAGCAAUCUAUAAAAGAAACAAAAGGAUUAAAAAGCAAAAACGAGCUGGAUUUGGACCAGAUCUGCAGCUUACCUAAAAAAUGUGUAACUUAAAAA